GACGAACGCUGGCGGCGUGCCUAACACAUGCAAGUCGAACGGAAAGACCCUGCUUUUGUGGGGUUCUCGAGUGCCGAACGCGUGAGUAACACGUGAGUAUCCUGCCCUUGACUUUGGGGUAACUUCACGAAACUGGGGCUAAUACCGGAUAGGAUCUCCUGCUCCAUGGUGGGCGUUGGAAAGUUGCGGCGGUUGGGGAUGGACUCGCGGCUUAUCAGCUUGUUGGUGGGGUAGUGGCUUACCAAGGCUUUGAAGGGUAGCCGGCCUGAGAGGGUGAACGGCCACAAUGGGACUGAGAUACGGCCCAGACUCGUACGGGAGGCAGCAGUGGGGAAUAUUGCACAAUGGGCGGAAGCCUGAUGCAGCAACGGCGCGGGCGGGAUGACGGCUUUCGGGGUGUAAACAGCGUUCGCCUGUGACGAAGCGGGAGUGACGGUAAUGGGUAAAGAAGCACCGGCUAACUACGUG
rnacentral:rRNA from 1 species